rnacentral:rRNA from 1 species
GGGGAAUAUUGCGCAAUGGGCGAAAGCCUGACGCAGCGACGCCGCGUGAGUGAAGAAGGCCUUCGGGUCGUAAAGCUCUGUCGGGAGGGACGAAGGUGUAUGGGUUAAUACCCUAUGCACGUGACGGUACCUCUAGAGGAAGCACCGGCUAACUCCGUGCCAGCAGCCGCGGUAAUACGGAGGGUGCAAGCGUUGUCCGGAUUUAUUGGGCGUAAAGGGCGCGUAGGCGGCCAGGUAAGUCGGAUGUGAAAUCCCUCGGCUCAACUGAGGAAUUGCGUUCGAAACUGUCUGGCUUGAGUUCGGGAGAGGGAAGUGGAAUUCCCAGUGUAGAGGUGAAAUUCGUAGAUAUUGGGAGGAACACCAGUGGCGAAGGCGGCUUCCUGGACCGAAACUGACGCUGAGGCGCGAAAGCGUGGGUAGCAAAC